rnacentral:rRNA from 1 species
GAUGAACGCUGGCGGCGUGCUUAACACAUGCAAGUCGAACGAGAAAUGUAGACGGAAACCUUCGGGCGGAAGCCUUCAUUUCGAGUGGCGGACGGGUGAGUAACGCGUGGGUAACCUGCCUCAUACAGGGGGAUAACAGUUGGAAACGACUGUUAAUACCGCAUAAGACCACAGCAUCGCAUGAUGCGGGGGUAAAAACUCCGGUGGUAUGAGAUGGACCCGCGUUCGAUUAGCCAGUUGGCGGGGUAACGGCCCACCAAAGCGACGAUCGAUAGCCGAUCUGAGAGGAUGACCGGCCACAUUGGGACUGAGACACGGCCCAAACUCCUACGGGAGGCAGCAGUGGGGAAUAUUGCACAAUGGGGGAAACCCUGAUGCAGCGACGCCGCGUGAGUGAAGAAGUACUUCGGUAUGUAAAGCUCUAUCAGCAGGGAAGAAAAUGACGGUACCUGAGUAAGGAGCCCCGGCUAACUACGUG